rnacentral:rRNA from 1 species
GGAGGGAUCAUUACUGAGUUUACGCUCUAUAACCCUUUGUGAACAUACCUAUAACUGUUGCUUCGGCGGGUAGGGUCUCCGUGACCCUCCCGGCCUCCCGCCCCCGGGCGGGUCGGCGCCCGCCGGAGGAUAACCAAACUCUGAUUUAACGACGUUUCUUCUGAGUGGUACAAGCAAAUAAUCAAAACUUUUAACAACGGAUCUCUUGGUUCUGGCAUCGAUGAAGAACGCAGCGAAAUGCGAUAAGUAAUGUGAAUUGCAGAAUUCAGUGAAUCAUCGAAUCUUUGAACGCACAUUGCGCCCGCCAGCAUUCUGGCGGGCAUGCCUGUUCGAGCGUCAUUUCAACCCUCAAGCUCUGCUUGGUGUUGGGGCCCUACAGCUGAUGUAGGCCCUCAAAGGUAGUGGCGGACCCUCCCGGAGCCUCCUUUGCGUAGUAACUUUACGUCUCGCACUGGGAUCCGGAGGGACUCUUGCCGUAAAACCCCCAAUUUUCCAAAGGUUGACCUCGGAUCAGGUAGGAAUACCCGCUGAACUUAAGCAUAUCAAUAAGCGGAGGAAAAGAAACCAACAGGGAUUGCCUCAGUA